GUGGGGAAUCUUGCGCAAUGGGCGAAAGCCUGACGCAGCCAUGCCGCGUGAAUGAUGAAGGUCUUAGGAUUGUAAAAUUCUUUCACCGGGGACGAUAAUGACGGUACCCGGAGAAGAAGCCCCGGCUAACUUCGUGCCAGCAGCCGCGGUAAUACGAAGGGGGCUAGCGUUGCUCGGAAUUACUGGGCGUAAAGGGUGCGUAGGCGGACAGUUUAGUCAGAGGUGAAAGCCCAGGGCUCAACCGUGGAAUUGCCUUUGAUACUGGCUGUCUUGAGUACGGGAGAGGUGAGUGGAACUCCGAGUGUAGAGGUGAAAUUCGUAGAUAUUCGGAAGAACACCAGUGGCGAAGGCGACUCACUGGCCCGUUACUGACGCUGAGGCGCGAAAGCGUGGGGAGCAAACAGGAUUAGAAACCCUAGUAGUCC
rnacentral:rRNA from 1 species